GGGUUGUGAGGUUAAGCGACUAAGCGUACACGGUGGAUGCCCUGGCAGUCAGAGGCGAUGAAGGACGUGCUAAUCUGCGAAAAGCGCCGGCGAGGUGAUAUGAACCUUUGACCCGGCGAUGUCCGAAUGGGGAAACCCAGUGCAAUUCGUUGCACUAUCGUUAACUGAAUACAUAGGUUAACGAGGCGAACCGGGGGAACUGAAACAUCUAAGUACCCCGAGGAAAAGAAAUCAACCGAGAUUCCCCCAGUAGCGGCGAGCGAACGGGGAGCAGCCCAGAGUCUGAAUCAGCUUGUGUGUUAGUGGAAGCGUCUGGAAAGUCGCACGGUACAGGGUGACAGUCCCGUACACGAAAGCACACAGGCUGUGAACUCGAAGAGUAGGGCGGGACACGUGGUAUCCUGUCUGAAUAUGGGGGGACCAUCCUCCAAGGCUAAAUACUCCUGACUGACCGAUAGUGAACCAGUACCGUGAGGGAAAGGCGAAAAGAACCCCGGCGAGGGGAGUGAAAAAGAACCUGAAACCGUGUACGUACAAGCAGUGGGAGCACCUUCGUGGUGUGACUGCGUACCUUUUGUAUAAUGGGUCAGCGACUUAUAUUCUGUAGCAAGGUUAACCGUAUAGGGGAGCCGAAGGGAAACCGAGUCUUAACUGGGCGUUAAGUUGCAGGGUAUAGACCCGAAACCCGGUGAUCUAGCCAUGGGCAGGUUGAAGGUUGGGUAACACUAACUGGAGGACCGAACCGACUAAUGUUGAAAAAUUAGCGGAUGACUUGUGGCUGGGGGUGAAAGGCCAAUCAAACCGGGAGAUAGCUGGUUCUCCCCGAAAGCUAUUUAGGUAGCGCCUCGUGAACUCAUCUUCGGGGGUAGAGCACUGUUUCGGCUAGGGGGCCAUCCCGGCUUACCAACCCGAUGCAAACUACGAAUACCGAAGAAUGUUAUCACGGGAGACACACGGCGGGUGCUAACGUCCGUCGUGAAGAGGGAAACAACCCAGACCGCCAGCUAAGGUCCCAAAGUCAUGGUUAAGUGGGAAACGAUGUGGGAAGGCACAGACAGCCAGGAUGUUGGCUUAGAAGCAGCCAUCAUUUAAAGAAAGCGUAAUAGCUCACUGGUCGAGUCGGCCUGCGCGGAAGAUGUAACGGGGCUAAACCAUGCACCGAAGCUGCGGCAGCGACGCUUAUGCGUUGUUGGGUAGGGGAGCGUUCUGUAAGCCGUUGAAGGUGUGCUGUGAGGCAUGCUGGAGGUAUCAGAAGUGCGAAUGCUGACAUAAGUAACGAUAAAGCGGGUGAAAAGCCCGCUCGCCGGAAGACCAAGGGUUCCUGUCCAACGUUAAUCGGGGCAGGGUGAGUCGACCCCUAAGGCGAGGCCGAAAGGCGUAGUCGAUGGGAAACAGGUUAAUAUUCCUGUACUUGGUGUUACUGCGAAGGGGGGACGGAGAAGGCUAUGUUAGCCGGGCGACGGUUGUCCCGGUUUAAGCAUGUAGGCGGAGGUUCCAGGUAAAUCCGGUACCUUAUUAACGCUGAGGUGUGAUGACGAGGCACUACGGUGCUGAAGUAACAAAUGCCCUGCUUCCAGGAAAAGCCUCUAAGCAUCAGGUAACACGAAAUCGUACCCCAAACCGACACAGGUGGUCAGGUAGAGAAUACCAAGGCGCUUGAGAGAACUCGGGUGAAGGAACUAGGCAAAAUGGUGCCGUAACUUCGGGAGAAGGCACGCUGAUAUGUAGGUGAAGCCCCUGCGGGUGGAGCUGAAAUCAGUCGAAGAUACCAGCUGGCUGCAACUGUUUAUUAAAAACACAGCACUGUGCAAACACGAAAGUGGACGUAUACGGUGUGACGCCUGCCCGGUGCCGGAAGGUUAAUUGAUGGGGUUAGCGGUAACGCGAAGCUCUUGAUCGAAGCCCCGGUAAACGGCGGCCGUAACUAUAACGGUCCUAAGGUAGCGAAAUUCCUUGUCGGGUAAGUUCCGACCUGCACGAAUGGCGUAAUGAUGGCCAGGCUGUCUCCACCCGAGACUCAGUGAAAUUGAACUCGCUGUGAAGAUGCAGUGUACCCGCGGCAAGACGGAAAGACCCCGUGAACCUUUACUAUAGCUUGACACUGAACACUGGUCCUUGAUGUGUAGGAUAGGUGGGAGGCUUUGAAGCGUGGACGCCAGUCUGCGUGGAGCCGACCUUGAAAUACCACCCUUUAAUGGCUGGUGUUCUAACGUAGACCCGUAAUCCGGGUUGCGGACAGUGUCUGGUGGGUAGUUUGACUGGGGCGGUCUCCUCCCAAAGAGUAACGGAGGAGCACGAAGGUUAGCUAAUCCUGGUCGGACAUCAGGAGGUUAGUGCAAUGGCAUAAGCUAGCUUGACUGCGAGAGUGACGGCUCGAGCAGGUGCGAAAGCAGGUCAUAGUGAUCCGGUGGUUCUGAAUGGAAGGGCCAUCGCUCAACGGAUAAAAGGUACUCCGGGGAUAACAGGCUGAUACCGCCCAAGAGUUCAUAUCGACGGCGGUGUUUGGCACCUCGAUGUCGGCUCAUCACAUCCUGGGGCUGAAGUAGGUCCCAAGGGUAUGGCUGUUCGCCAUUUAAAGUGGUACGCGAGCUGGGUUUAGAACGUCGUGAGACAGUUCGGUCCCUAUCUGCCGUGGGCGCUGGAGAAUUGAGGGGGGCUGCUCCUAGUACGAGAGGACCGGAGUGGACGCAUCACUGGUGUUCGGGUUGUCAUGCCAAUGGCACUGCCCGGUAGCUAAAUGCGGAAAAGAUAAGUGCUGAAAGCAUCUAAGCACGAAACUUGCCCCGAGAUGAGUUCUCCCUGACCCUUUAAGGGUCCUGAAGGAACGUUGAAGACUACGACGUUGAUAGGUCGGGUGUGUAAGCGCAGCGAUGCGUUGAGCUAACCGAUACUAAUGAACCGUGAGGCUUAACCUUACAACGCCGAAGCUGUU
rnacentral:rRNA from 1 species